UACGUAGGGGGCAAGCGUUGUCCGGAAUCAUUGGGCGUAAAGCGCGUGUAGGCGGCCUUGUAAGUCCGUUCUGAAAGCCCGGGGCUCAACCCCGGGAGGCGGAUGGAUACUGCAAGGCUCGAGUCCGGAAGAGGCGAGUGGAAUUCCCGGUGUAACGGUGAAAUGCGCAGAUAUCAGGAGGAACACCAAUGGCGAAGGCAGCUCGCUGGGACGGUACUGCCGCUGAGGCGCGAAAGCGUGGGGAGCAAACAGG
rnacentral:rRNA from 1 species